CAAUCACGUGGCUCUGACAAACAGGACAACCUUUUGAGUGAGAAGGUCAAGAAGCAAUGGAAGGAACUGGAAGAAAAUAAGUUGAUGUGACUGUAUUAGUAUAAGUUUGAACUAUUAUUUUAUAUUAAUUUUGUUCAUCAACAGGUCGUAUUGGAAAGCAAUGCCGAGAGAGGUACUAAUACUUGCUUCCCGGAAAGAAGGAUGCAUGGACAGAGGAGGAGGAACUAGCUUACUAUUACCAAAUAUACGAUAAUAAGUGGGCAGAAAUUGUAAGGAUUCUUCCUGGAAGUAAGAUAUGAAGCGCAUCUAUGGGAUAACAGCCGUAGGCGAGAGGUUCAGGCCAGAAAAGGGCAUCAAGACUACUAAUUGAAAAGUCCAGUUGAAGAUCAAUGUAGCAAUAAAA